UACGUAGGGGGCAAGCGUUGUCCGGAUUUAUUGGGCGUAAAGAGCGUGUAGGCGGCUAGGUAGGUCCGUUGUGAAAACUCGAGGCUCAACCUCGAGACGCCGGUGGAAACCAUCUAGCUAGAGUCCGGAAGAGGAGACUGGAAUUCCUGGUGUAGCGGUGAAAUGCGCAGAUAUCAGGAGGAACACCGGUGGCGAAGGCGGGUCUCUGGGCCGAUACUGACGCUGAGGAGCGAAAGCGUGGGGAGCAAACAGG
rnacentral:rRNA from 1 species